CGACGAAAACACUAAAGAUAAUAGAUAAAAAAUGAGAAAACCGCCGUAAAAAUUUAGCGAAAAUUUCGAAAUGAAAAAAGGCGGGCUAUUAUUUUAACAGUCUGCUGUAACACGAAUUGGUUCAAUUUGCUAUCGGGCCUUGAUACCGUCCCAAUGUGUCUGUUGCUCAACGAUUCUGCAGUCCCGACACAGAGGGCCGGACAUUGUCAAGGGAAAUUUACGGUAACGACUAGUAAAAUGCCAACAUGAAGUGUUGCUUCAUGACUUAUUCCGUUCCGAGAAAUUUGUUUAGAAGGGAAACAUCAAAGACAAGUGACACAACUUGCCAUAAUUGAUCCUCCAAUUACAGAACUAAACUGUUGAUUUGAUUGAUGCUUCAGACGAUAAUUUGGCUUCGAGUAUUUGUACCAAGUAAUGGAAUUAACUAGGCGAUAUUUUCCGAGCUUGUAGAGUUUUAUUUACAAGCCAAUCUAUCAGCAUUAUCGAAAACACUCCAGAGAACUGGCUUCGAAACAGUUUAUGUGAGCCAUCUUUUGCACACCCUGCGCCACUUUAAAUCAAUUCAAACCUAUUUCAAAUUUUAAUUGGACUUGAUUGUUAGCGUAAAAACAAACAAGCAAUUCACAUAAACUAUAAUCUUUAUGCCACCAUUGUAAUUAAGGUAGGUAUAUAAGAAUUCGACCAAACAUUAUUAUUGCUACUCUCAUUUCACAAUGUCUCGACUAAUUUUUCUUAUUUUUUUAAUCUGUCUGUGUCUAAUUCGUUCAACAAUCCAGCAAAACUCAGAAUGUGCCUGUUGGCCAGGAUAUGAGGAAAUUAGAGAUGGAUUAAAAGACGAAUCUGUGAAGAACCUUCGGUGCCAUGGAAAUACUUGGGCUACGUAUAAAAGACGACACUUUUGCAACCAGCCCUUAAAACCUCAGUGCGAGUGUUCAAGAGCCGAUUCAGUUCUGACGGACAACACAGGCACCUACUGUACAACCUUUAAUGCAAUGGGAGGUUUGACGAAGUUGGAUUGUGGGAAUAAAGUCGAGUGGGAAAUUUAUAACAAAAAAUGGAAAGAAUUUCAGAAGAAACAACCAAUAAUAGGGCAGUUUUAAAUUUUAUUAAUGUGGGAUUUAUCAAAAUGACUUAACAAUAAAUAGUAGAAUUGGAACAA